CAUCUUAGGGCCCUGCUGGCCCUGCUGGUGCUCCCGGUCCUGCUGGUUCCCGAGGUGCUCCUGUCCUCAAGGCCCACGUGGUGACAAAGGUGAAACAGGUGAACGUGGAGCUGCUGGCAUCAAAGGACAUCGAGGAUUCCCUGGUAAUCCAGGUGCCCCAGGUUCUCCAGCCCUGCUGGUCAGCAGGGUGCAAUCGGCAGUCCAGGACCUGCAGGCCCCAGAGACCUGUUGGACCCAGUGGACCUCCUGGCAAAGAUGGAACCAGUGGACAUCCAGGUCCCAUUGGACCACCAGGGCCUCGAGGUAACAGAGGUGAAAGAGGAUCUGAGGCUCCCCAGGCCACCCAGGGCAACCAGGCCCUCCUGGACCUCCUGGUGCCCCUGGUCCUUGC
rnacentral:lncRNA from 1 species